rnacentral:rRNA from 1 species
CAAGCGGUGGAGCAUGUGGUUCAAUUCGACGCAACGCGAAGAACCUUACCUGGGCUCGAAAUGUAGUGGACCGGGGUGGAAACAUCCCUUUUCGCAAGAACCGCUAUAUAGGUGCUGCAUGGCUGUCGUCAGCUCGUGUCGUGAGAUGUUGGGUUAAGUCCCGCAACGAGCGCAACCCUUAUUGUCAGUUGCCAUCAUUCAGUUGGGCACUCUGGCGAAACCGCCUCGGAUAACGGGGAGGAAGGUGGGGAUGACGUCAAGUCCUCAUGGCCUUUAUGUCCAGGGCUACACACGUGCUACAAUGGUCGGUACAAACCGUCGCAAACCCGCGAGGGGGAGCUAAUCGGAAAAAGCCGACCUCAGUUCGGAUUGGAGUCUGCAACUCGACUCCAUGAAGCUGGAAUCGCUAGUAAUCGCGGAUCAGAACGCCGCGGUGAAUACGUUCCCGGGCCUUGUACACACC